UUUCGCAAUGCCCGAAAGGGUGACGAAGCGACGCCGCGUGUGGGAAGAAGGCUUUUGGGUUGUAAACCACUGUCAGGAGUUAAGAAGUGUAGAGGCGUGAAUAGCGCCUCUAUUUGACGAAGGCUCCAGAGGAAGCCACGGCUAACUCUGUGCCAGCAGCCGCGGUAAUACAGAGGUGGCAAGCGUUGUUCGGAAUUAUUGGGCGUAAAGAGCACGUAGGCGGCCCUGCCAGUCAGUUGUGAAAUCCUUCCGCUCAACGGGAGAACUGCAGCUGAUACUACAGGGCUAGAGUACGGGAGGGGAGAGUGGAACUUCUGGUGGAGCGGUGAAAUGCGUAGAUAUCAGAAGGAACGCCGGCGGCGAAAGCGACUCUCUGGACCGAAACUGACGCUGAGUGUGCGAAAGCUAGGGGAGCAAACGGGAUUAGAUACCCCGGUAGUCCUAGCCGUAAACGAUGGGCACUAAGUAGAGGGGUUUUA
rnacentral:rRNA from 1 species